rnacentral:rRNA from 1 species
CACGUAGGGGCCAAGCGUUGUCCGGAUUUAUUGGGCGUAAAGAGCUCGUAGGCGGUCUGUCGCGUCGGAUGUGAAAAUCCAGGGCUCAACCCUGGACCUGCAUUCGAUACGGGCAGACUAGAGUUCGGCAGGGGAGACUGGAAUUCCUGGUGUAGCGGUGAAAUGCGCAGAUAUCAGGAGGAACACCGGUGGCGAAGGCGGGUCUCUGGGCCGAAACUGACGCUGGAGGAGCGAAAGCGUGGGGAGCGAACAGG